rnacentral:rRNA from 1 species
AUGGCUCGAGAGCUCAAGGUGCUCGGCGCGCUGGAUGCCGCCAAGACGCAGUGGUACCACUUCACGGCCAUCGUGAUCGCCGGCAUGGGCUUCUUCACCGACGCCUAUGACCUCUUCUCCAUCUCCCUCGUCACCAAGCUGCUGGGCCGCAUCUACUACUUCGACCCGAGCUCAGCCGCCCCGGGCUCGCUCCCGCCCAACGUCUCGGCCGCUGUCAACGGCGUCGCCUUCUGCGGUACCCUCGCCGGCCAGCUCUUCUUCGGAUGGCUCGGCGACAAGAUGGGCCGGAAGAAGGUCUACGGCAUGACGCUCAUGAUCAUGGUGCUCUGCUGCGUCGCCUCCGGCCUCUCCUUCGGCUCCACUCCGAACUCCGUCAUGGCCACGCUCUGCUUCUUCCGCUUCUGGCUCGGCUUCGGCAUCGGCGGCGACUACCCGCUCUCCGCCACCAUCAUGUCUGAGUAUGCCAACAAGCGCACCCGUGGCGCCUUCAUCGCCGCCGUAUUCGCCAUGCAGGGGUUCGGCAACCUCACCGGCGGCGUCGUCGCGAUCAUCGUCUCGGCUGCGUUCAAGGAGCGGUUCGACGCGCCCGCGUACAGGGACGACCGGGCCGGCUCCACCGUCCCGCAGGCAGACUACGUGUGGCGCAUCGUCCUCAUGUUUGGCGCUGUCCCGGCGCUGCUCACCUACUACUGGCGCAUGAAGAUGCCCGAGACGGCGCGCUACACGGCGCUCGUCGCCAAGAACGCCAAGCUGGCCACGUCCGACAUGGCGCGAGUGCUCAACGUCGAGCUCGUCUCCGACGAGCCGGAGCAGCCGCUGCCCGUCGGACAUGGUGACCGCGAGCAGUUCGGGCUCUUCUCCAAGGAGUUCGUUCGGCGCCACGGCCGGCACCUGCUGGGCACGACGGUGUGCUGGUUCGUCCUCGACAUCGCCUUCUACUCGCAGAACCUGUUCCAGAAGGACAUCUACACGGCGGUGGAGUGGCUGCCGAGGGCGGACACCAUGAACGCGCUGCAGGAGAUGUUCAAGAUCUCGCGCGCGCAGACGCUGGUCGCGCUGUGCGGCACCAUCCCGGGGUACUGGUUCACGGUGUUCCUCAUCGACGUCGUCGGCCGCUUCGCCAUCCAGCUCGGCGGCUUCUUCUUCAUGACGGCCUUCAUGCUGGGCCUCGCCGUGCCGUACCACCACUGGACGACCCCCGGGAACCACGUGGGCUUCGUCGUCAUGUUCUCGCUCACCUUCUUCUUCGCCAACUUCGGGCCCAACUCCACCACCUUCAUCGUGCCGGCAGAGAUCUUCCCGGCACGGCUGCGGUCGACGUGCCACGGCAUCUCGGCGGCUGCCGGGAAGGCGGGCGCCAUCGUGGGGUCGUUCGGGUUCCUGUAUGCUGCCCAGAGCACUGAUUCCACGAAGACGGACGCCGGGUACCCGCCGGGCAUCGGCGUCCGCAACUCGCUGUUCGUGCUCGCCGGGUGCAACGUGGUCGGGUUCCUGUUCACGUUCCUCGUGCCGGAGCCCAACGGGAAGUCGCUGGAGGAGCUCUCCGGUGAGAACGAGGUGGAUGACGCGCCUGAAGAUGCCUCAUCUGCGGCAGCCGGGGAGGACAGGAGCACGCCGGCACCAGACGUUUGA